GUAGUCGACACGUACUCGAGGGCUAUAAAACGGAAAUGAAGUAAUCAGUUCUGUUCAUCCAUCAUCCCCUUCACUCGAAGGACACCAAAUCCAUGGUUGAUCAUUACAAACUCCGAUCGCCUCUCCACUCUCUUCUCCCUCCGACUACGGAGCCCUGGAUGAUCAUUACGUCUAGGGUUUCACGAAUCGGAAUGAAAUCAAGUACGGCUCGGAAUGAAAUCAAGUACGGCGCAUGAUGGUAUGAUUCUCUCAAUCGGGGAGAGAUCGACGAUUUUGUGCAUUGGAUGGAAGGGUUUUUAGUGGGUGCGGACCGUGUAGCUCUUCUAUUCUUUGCGUCUGCUGUGCUGUUCUUAUUGGGGAUGAAAGAGCUAUCAGAAUGAAGUCGACGAGGAACGGUGACUCUUGAAUCUUUGCAUCGCGGACCCUUUUGUAAGGUCCUUCUGCUCUCUCUCUCUCUCUCAUUCAUCCACCUUCUCAUGAUUUGCUUAUCUGUUUACUUCUCAAUCUCAAUUUCCUCUACUAUUGCUUGGGGUUUUAGUGGGUGCAAAUCUCAGUUUCCACUCAGAUUCUCAUGGCCAAACCUGAAGCCACCUGGAUGAAGAGAGGUAAACAAUAUUUUUUCGUACCGUUCUUAAAGUAAAUAAUACUUUUACUUGUUUUUUUCUUUCAUCGUUUGCCUUUGUUGGUUACGGUAUGGGAAAUCUGCGAGCUGUAUGCGGUGGCUUCGGGUUUGGCAAUGCUGGGUAGGUUUUCUCCCAACAUUUAUCUCAUUUACUCUAGAAUUUUAUAGAAGCUCAGAUUUGAUGAUGCUCAUUUACUCUAGAAUUUUAUAGAAGCUAGCAUGUAUUAAAUUCCUGUGGAAAUUUUUUGAACACGUGUUAUGAUAAUGUCUGAAAAUAUUUGCAUACUUCAUAUGGACUACUAUGAUUAUGGUUUUGAGUUUUAUGUCCAGCUGGGGCCUUUUUAAUUUAUUUUUGUUGUCUUCUGUUCCCACGUUUUUUUGGAAAUGAUCAAUGUGUGAACCUAAUCCUAACUAUGAAAUUAACACAAAGAACUAAUUAGUUAUGAUUGGAUCUGGACACAAGUUUAGGAAUUUGUUAUAUGAGUUGAUACGACUUUGAAUCAAAAUUGGCAAAACUUAGGCUUGUCUGGGGGAUAUAAUAGCCUAGUAUAAUAGCUUAGCUUUGCAAGGAUGUAAACCGUACAUUGCGGAUCAAAAACAACAAAAAAA